rnacentral:rRNA from 1 species
AACGAACGCUGGCGGCAUGCCUAACACAUGCAAGUCGAACGAACCCUUCGGGGUUAGUGGCGCACGGGUGCGUAACGCGUGGGAAUCUGCCCUUUGCUUCGGAAUAACAGUUAGAAAUGACUGCUAAUACCGGAUGAUGUCUUCGGACCAAAGAUUUAUCGGCAAGGGAUGAGCCCGCGUAGGAUUAGGUAGUUGGUGGGGUAAGGGCCUACCAAGCCGACGAUCCUUAGCUGGUCUGAGAGGAUGAUCAGCCACACUGGGACUGAGACACGGCCCAGACUCCUACGGGAGGCAGCAGUGGGGAAUAUUGGACAAUGGGCGCAAGCCUGAUCCAGCAAUGCCGCGUGAGUGAUGAAGGCCUUCGGGUCGUAAAGCUCUUUUACCAGGGAUGAUAAUGACAGUACCUGGAGAAUAAGCUCCGGCUAACUCCGUGCCAGCAGCCGCGGUAAUACGGAGGGAGCUAGCGUUGUUCGGAAUUACUGGGCGUAAAGCGCACGUAGGCGGCGACACAAGUCAGAGGUGAAAGCCCGGGGCUCAACCCCGGAACUGCCUUUGAAACUAGGUUGCUAGAAUCUUGGAGAGGUCAGUGGAAUUCCGAGUGUAGAGGUGAAAUUCGUAGAUAUUCGGAAGAACACCAGUGGCGAAGGCGACUGACUGGACAAGUAUUGACGCUGAGGUGCGAAAGCGUGGGGAGCAAACAGG